UAACGGCGAGUGAAGCGGCAAAAGCUCAAAUUUGAAAUCUGGCGCACGCCCGAGUUGUAAUUUGUAGAGGAUGCUUCGGGUGAAGCCGCGGCCCAAGUCCCUUGGAACAGGACGUCGUAGAGGGUGAGAGCCCCGUACCUGGCCGCCGGUGCCCCCCGCUGUGAAGCUCCUUCGACGAGUCGAGUUGUUUGGGAAUGCAGCUCUAAAUUGGUGGUAAAUUCCAUCUAAAGCUAAAUACCGGCCAGAGACCGAUAGCGCACAAGUAGAGUGAUCGAAAGAUGAAAAGCACUUUGAAAAGAGAGUUAAAAAGUACGUGAAAUUGUUGAAAGGGAAGCGCUUGCGGCCAGACUUGCCCGCGGUUGCUCAGCCCGCCCUCUGGCGGGUGCACUCUUCCGCGGUCAGGCCAGCAUCGGUUCGGGCGGCCGGAUAAAGGCUCCGGGAACGUAGCCUCCCUUCGGGGAGGUGUUAUAGCCCGGCGCGCAAUGCGGCCAGCCCGGACCGAGGUUCGCGCUCUGCUAGGAUGCUGGCGUAAUGGCCGUAAGCGGCCCGUCUUGAAACACGGACCAAGGAGUCUAACAUCUAUGCGAGUGUUUGGGUGUCAAACCCGUGCGCGUAAUGAAAGUGAACGGAGGUGGGAACCGCAAGGCGCACCAUCGACCGAUCCUGAUGUCUUCGGAAGGAUUUGAGUAAGAGCAUAGCUGUUGGGACCCGAAAGAUGGUGAACUAUGCGUGAAUAGGGUGAAGCCAGAGGAAACUCUGGUGGAGGCUCGCAGCGGUUCUGACGUGCAAAUCGAUCGUCAAAUUUGCGUAUAGGGGCGAAAGACUAAUCGAACCAU
rnacentral:rRNA from 1 species